AGCUUGGACGAUGUGGUCACAGAUGCCCUUUCCAUCUCUCAGACUUUGUGAUACCAUGAUCCUCUAUCCAAUCACCACCUCUCCUUUCUGAGUUUGAGUGCUCAGGGCAAUUAUAACUCCAUUAUGACCUGAUUAACCGCAGCACCAACUGCCACAAAUGCCAAUGGGAAUACCCUGUCCCUUUCCCCAUCAUCAUAUCCACCUCCUGCCUCCUGGAUCACUUCAAGGCUACAGUAAAUAGCCUUUGUGGCAUGGGCUAGGCACUCCAAGAGCAUUGACUACAUGGGGUAGGAGUGAUAUGUGUGAGAAAAAGGCUUCCAUGGCUUUGGCUGAAAUCUUCUACUGCUAGGAAGACACAGAAGAAAUGCCUGGACCAAAGAGUCCCGGGACCACACAGGAUUGGAGUGGAUCAUGGAAAACAAUAUGGCCAAAAGAGUCAAAGGUGAUAUUUUUUCCCAACCAUAUGGUGCUAACUGCAGUCCUUGGGCUGAAACAGGCCCCUGCAAGAAGCAAAAAGGAGACAGAAAGGCUUCUGAACCUCAACAAGAAGUGAUGCCAAGAGGUACUGCUAGGAAUAUCCAAGGAAGUGCCAUGGAGAGAGGUAGAAAGAGGACUAUAGAGAGGAACAGGCUUCCUGCACAGGGGAGGCCAUGUACCUUGAAGAUAUACAUCAAAGGAGCAAUGUUUUGUCAAAAGCUGCUGAAAAGGUUUGAGCCCAACACCGUUGACUAAAUGCCCUGAAUUCGGUGAGUGCUGCCAACAGUUUCUUUAUGCAUGCGUGGCAAUGGCAAGAAAACAUUGCCUGAAAAUCAGGUAGCUUCUAGCUCAGCCCAUCUCCUCCCUGAGUGCCCCUGAAUCCUGUCUAUUUAUUUUACUGACAACAAACCUGUUUUUAAUCUGUCUACAACACUGAACCAGCAGAGCAAAGGGAAAAGAAGAGAGGAUUCCAUUUCUUGUGAAUUAUUAUUAGCAAGUUGUCAACAGCUAUAAAUCCAGGUUAUUAAAGACAAUACAGAAAGGCAAAAAGAAUACAGUACAUCUCACAGAUCCUGGUGGAAUUUUCACAUGCUGGCAGGGUAGGAAAAAAAGUCACUCCCUGAGCUGUAAAUUGAACAAAUGUGAUCUAUAUCAUGGACUUAGAAUAAAUAAUUAUUGGUGGCAGAAAUUGUUUAUUGUGAUUUACUGAGUAUGCCAAGCAUUUCUUAAUUGUGAAACAUGGAAUCUGAAAAACAGUCUCCAAGGAGUGAUGACUCAAUGAUUCAAGAGCAGCUCGCAAAGAUGAACUAGGUGGUAGGAGAGAAAUUUUGAAAAAAAAAAAAAGGCGUCAAUUGUUCAUUGGCCCCCAGGUAUAUAUGUUCCUUUCUCUGCCAGUGACCUUGAAGAGGGAUAUUGGGAAAGAGCUAUAGUAUAGUGCAAUGAUUUUCAAACUUUUUGGUCUUUGGACCCUUUUAUGCUCCAAAA